GGCGGAGUAGCUCAGCAGGUUAGAGCAGCGGAAUCAUAAUCCGCGUGUCGGGGGUUCGAAUCCCUCCUCCGCUACCA
rnacentral:tRNA from 1 species